rnacentral:rRNA from 1 species
CGCAAGCCUGACGGAGCAAUACCGCGUGAGGGAGGACGGCUUUUGGGUUGUAAACCUCUUUUAUCAGGGAAGAAGACAGUGACGGUACCUGAUGAAUCAGCAUCGGCUAACUCCGUGCCAGCAGCCGCGGUAAUACGGAGGAUGCAAGCGUUAUCCGGAAUUAUUGGGCGUAAAGCGUCCGUAGGUGGUUUUUCAAGUCUGCUGUCAAAGCGUGGAGCUUAACUCCAUACCGGCAGUGGAAACUGGGAGACUAGAGUGCGAUAGGGGUUACGGGAAUUCCCAGUGUAGCGGUGAAAUGCGUAGAGAUUGGGAAGAACACCAGCGGCGAAAGCGCGUAACUGGGUCUGCACUGACACUGAGGGACGAAAGCUAGGGGAGCG